CUGGAAUCUGGCAUAGAGAAACAUACUGUGUGCAGGAUGAUGUUAAGUACUUUCCUGGUUAGAGCAUAGUGCCUGUCUAUGCUACCACUGUUUGUUUUUUUGUACGCUUCUGCUACAGAAGAUAGCAAUUGCAGCAGGCACUACUGAAGGGAUAGAAAUGAAUGCAUGAAUUGCAUGUGAAGAAAAAAUCUCCAAUAUGAAUGGAAAAAAAAAAAAAAAAACAAGGAUCAGCAAGGAUCUCAGUUUAAUAUAAUGCUGAUCUUGUGCUCCAGAAAUCUUGUUAACAGGAGAAGACACCCACUAUAUAUAAAAAGGCUGAUAACAUCCUAAUUUCAAGGAAGACCUUGAAUAAUAUCUGUGGUGUGAAUCCUUGUUCUGGUUCCUGAAUAAAGCCAUUCCUCAAUGACUAUAAUGCUGUCA
rnacentral:lncRNA from 1 species